AAUGAGGGAGAUGAUGUAUUUCUUUGUGAAUAUGAAUAUGAUAUCCAUUGGCACAGUUUCAAGCGUAUAGCAGAGAUU
rfam:Nelumbo nucifera unplaced genomic scaffold scaffold00315, whole genome shotgun sequence